rnacentral:lncRNA from 1 species
UUUAUCCAUAAAAGAAAAUUAUAAUCAAGUUGAAAUAACUCAUAGAAUUAAUAUCCCUUUUGUAGUAAAAUCAUUAUCAACAGACAAGGAAACACUAAAGCUAUUAAUUGUUAUUAUUAAGGGUAAAGCUUUUCAGUACAACACUACAAUACGUGGUGGUGGUCCUUGGCUUUGUAGUAUUAAGAUGGACCCUAGUGUUUUACUGUCCCAAGUGAAACGCCCCUCACCAUCUCCAUGGUGGAUCUAUUGAUAAAUUACCUUUUUAUCUGAUAGAGAACAGCUGUAUGUUUGCUGUAAAAGAUCAUAAUUUGUUGGUUAAUGAUCUCAUUACAAGUAAUCAACUCAAUAUUCACUUUGACUUGGUAGAUAUAUUUUUAAGAAAGAUUUGUAUCAGUGAAAUGUUAUCUUCUAUAUUAUAUCUACAGGAUCUGACAGUUUCUGAUAAAGUGAGACAUAUUCAUCUCCCUCAAUGUUCGGGAGAUGAAGAACCAGUGGAGAUUGACUGUUUGGUUAUUACUAAAAAUAACCUGAUUGCGAGAUGCGACAAGGAUAAUGCAAGCAUUAAGAUAUUCACAUUGGAUGGUCAACUUUUGGAUUCUCUCAAACUGAAUGUUUAUGAAUUUAUCAAAAUGUGUUGAUGGAAGUCAAACACACUGGUUAUUAUGACUGGGAAUUAUUCUGGUAAUAAAUACCAACAUUAAAAGUAGACUUCCCAUUGUCUGUGUCACUUUACCAGACGAGAAAUGAAUAUAAAUGUAUUGCUUCUUUAUCAAACAAUCAGAUGGUUUGUAACAAGUUAAGAGAUGAAUGUAGUUUGUAUUUCAUUAAUAUUGAUGAAAUACAUUUCACUGUGAAUGAAAUAAAACAAAUAGACAUACCUGAAAAAUUAUUAACGGGAGACAUAGAUGGGAGUUGUAUUAAUGACAUCGACAAUAUCACAGUUAAUGCUGAUGUCAUCAUUGUUUGCAACGGAAGAUUCAUCAUUUUUUUUCAACAGUGAUGGUCAAUAUUUACAUACAAUUACACACUACAUGAAGUAUGAUAUUGGUGAAGACAAGAUGACAGCUAUUUGUACAUCCAUGGUGGGUGGGAUAAAGAUUUUGGUAUGUUUGGGUAAAAAAAUGUGCAUUUGACACAGACUGAGGAAUACAAGGGAAUAUUUCUAAAUAGAAGAAUGUAUAAAGAUGAAGUAUAUUUCCUCAGUAUAAACUGUAAGGGAUCAAGGUUUAUGGGAAACCACAAGGAGGGGAAAAGAGAGAAUGAAUUGUAUGUUGAAGGAUAUUUCACGAUCAAUCGAGAAAGCUUUCCUGUUUCUCGUUUACAAACAGAUGAAUACUCUGUUUGAGUAAAAGAUAUUGAUAUCUCUGAUGAAGGAAAGACAGUGGUGUGUGAAAAAGCCAAUAAGGAAAAUAUUAAAAUAUUUAAUAGAUUUGGGAAGUUACUAUGUUACCGAAAUGUUGCAAGUUUAGUUGGUGGUGUGUGUUUUACACCUAAAAGAGACAUAAUGGCCACAGUUCCUCAAAGAAAAGAAAUAUUUCAACUGAAUCAAAAAUAUUUGCAGAAAUAUAAAGUUUGGCAAAGUCAAGUACCUUAUGGUGUGUAUAUACUGAAUUGAUUGAAUGUCAUUGCAUAGAGAUUGAUGGGGACCAACUGAACAUUCUGGAAUCUAUAUCGCUAUUAAAUCUUGAUUCUGAUCUUCAUUUCCCUUCCAUUACAUCUCAGAUGAACAAGGAACUAUUGACUAAAUUGAAUUAGAGUGGAGGAGACGGAGAUAAAGAAGGAGGCAGAAGAAAAGGUAAAUCAGAUAAAAUAAUUGGUAAAGGAAGACUAAAGGUGAGAUGUGAUAAUUCCAUAGCAGACACUAUGUUAGGAUAUGAUGAAAUAUCAGUGAGGAGACUGCCACAUAGAACAGGACUGGUCCCACUUUCCAUUCCUACAUUCAACGAACCUGUAAAUUAUGAUAUCAGAGACUGAAGGGACUGGAAUAGUAAACUAAUUAUGUUAGAUGACAAUGUCAGUGUGUUGAUAUUUAGAGAAAGUGUCACAUUAAUCAGCACAACUACAGGAGACAUACUUCAACAUACACAACAACCACCUUUGGACAUAUGUCAGUGGACAGAUGAUCAUUUCAUAGUUGUCUUUGGUAAAGAAACGAUAGUCUUCAACAGAGAUCUCUGUCGUUUAUAAACACCAUCAAAACUGAGAAAUACUACAACAGGAUUUAUAAAUACAACAAUCAACUUGUGUGAGGCAGUCAUUAUAUUAGAGACUCUUAUUAUCAUGUCGAUAAAGUUGAUGUCAAAGAUGGGAUAUGUAAAUAUGAAGUGUGUCAUGGGAAGAUGGGAACAUAUGAAAGGUUUGAGGGAGAAGAAGUGGUGGUUGAUGUAGGAGUCACAUCUUUUGGUGAUAUUGUUGUUGUGAGGGGGGAAUGGAAGAAGAACAAGGUUGGAGGGUUGGAUAAUUUGUCUUUUGUGGAAUGGUUCAGGGAAAAGAUGUUGAUUAGGAGGAUAAGAGUAGAAGGAAUAAAUUAUCUUCAGGAAUAUGACAUUCAAGGACCUCGUCUAACCAAAAUUGGUGAAUGUGUUUAUAUAACAGAUAGAGAAAACAAUAUUUGCCAAAUACCUGGACAUAUUGAACAGCAAACAUCUGAAGACAUCGAAACCCUGACACUGAAAGAUAUUCAACAAUAUUUACUCCUCAAGAAAGAUGAUAAUGAAGUUUUCCAGCUUCUUGGUUUUGAUAUUUCAGAGGAUUCUUUUAUGGUUUUUGGAAUUAUUCCAGGACGUCAGUCUUUUGCAUUCUUUCAUUAUGACAAAUAAAUACUUUCAUAAGUAUCAAAUUU